rnacentral:rRNA from 1 species
GACGAACGCUUGCGGCGUGCCUAAGAAAUGCAAGUCGAACGAGUUUAGCCCUUCGGGGCGAACGCUAGUGGCGAACGGUCGAGUAACACGUGAGCAACCUGCCCUAAAGCGGGGGAUAGCCCACCGAAAGGUGGAUUAAUACCGCAUAUGAUCCGUCUCCGGCAUCGGAGAUUGAUUAAAGCAGCAAUGCGCUUUAGGAUGGGCUCGCGGCCUAUCAGUUAGUUGGUGGGGUAAUGGCCUACCAAGACGACGACGGGUAGCUGGUCUGAGAGGAUGGUCAGCCGGAUUGGGACUGAGACACGGCCCAGACUCCUACGGGAGGCAG